AGGACGAACGCUGGCGGCGUGCUUAACACAUGCAAGUCACGGGGGUCCCGCAAGGGAUAACCGGCGAACGGGUGCGUAACACGUGAACAACCUGCCCUCGUGUGGGGGAUAGCCGGGCUAACGCCCGGGUAAUACCGCAUACGUUCUCUUUGGGGAGUCCCGAGGAGAGGAAAGCUCCGGCGCACGGGGAGGGGUUCGCGGCCUAUCAGCUAGUUGGCGGGGUAAUGGCCCACCAAGGCGACGACGGGUAGCU
rnacentral:rRNA from 1 species